rnacentral:tRNA from 1 species
AUUAUAUAAAUUAUAAGUAAGGUGGCCUUACUUCUUUUUAUUAUUUAAUAUAUAUUAUAUAAUA